AUAUCCAUAGGUCUCGACCAAAUCUUGUGCCAGCAGUCGCGGUAAGACAAGGGAGACGAGUGUUAUUCAUCUUUAACAGGUAUAUAGGGUACCUAGACGGUGUGCAAUGGCUUAAAUAAGUACCUGGUACACUUGAGUUUGAUAUGUGAGAGGAAUAUGUCGGAAUUGUUGGAGGAAAGAUGAAAUUUGUUAAUACCAAUAGGACUGAUAACGGCGAAGGCAAACCUCUAUGUACAUGUACUUGCUAUUUCUGUUUUUAUUAUAGCAAAAUAGCAAUGUACUAUAACUGACGUUGAGGGACGAAGGCUCAGAGAGUGAAGAGGAUUAGAUACCCCCGUAACCUGGGCAGACAAUGAUGAGUGCCAUAGGUUGGCUUUAAGGCGGAACUAUAAAUGAAAGUGGAAGCACUCCACCUCAAGAGUAAUGUU
rnacentral:rRNA from 1 species